GGUCUGAUGGUCUAGUGGUAGGAUUCUCGCUUUGGGUCGAACGUCCCAUACAAAGGAGUUCUUCAUUGCGAGAGAUCCCGGGUUCAAUCCCCGGUCAGACCC